rnacentral:rRNA from 1 species
AUUGAACGCUGGCGGCAUGCUUUACACAUGCAAGUCGAACGGUAACAGGCCGCCAGGUGCUGCCGAGUGGCGAACGGGUGAGUAAUGCAUCGGAACGUGCCCAGUCGUGGGGGAUAACUACUCGAAAGAGUAGCUAAUACCGCAUACGAUCUAUGGAUGAAAGCGGGGGACCGUAAGGCCUCGCGCGAUUGGAGCGGCCGAUGUCAGAUUAGGUAGUUGGUGGGGUAAAGGCUCACCAAGCCAACGAUCUGUAGCUGGUCUGAGAGGACGACCAGCCACACUGGGACGGAGACACGGCCCAGACUCCUACGGGAGGCAGCAGUGGGGAAUUUUGGACAAUGGGCGCAAGCCUGAUCCAGCAAUGCCGCGUGCAGGAAGAAGGCCUUCGGGUUGUAAACUGCUUUUGUACGGAACGAAACGGCUCUGGUUAAUACCCGGGGCUAAUGACGGUACCGUAAGAAUAAGCACCGGCUAACUACGUG